rnacentral:rRNA from 1 species
GACAAACGCUGGCGGCGUGCUUAACACAUGCAAGUCGAACGGAAAGGCCCUGCUUGCAGGGUACUCGAGUGGCGAACGGGUGAGUAACACUUGGGUGAUCUGCCCUGCACUUCGGGAUAAGCCUGGGAAACUGGGUCUAAUACCGGAUAGGAGCCAUUUUUAGUGUGAUGGUUGGAAAGUUUUUUCGGUGUAGGAUGAGCUCGCGGCCUAUCAGCUUGUUGGUGGGGUAAUGGCCUACCAAGGCGGCGACGGGUAGCCGGCCUGAGAGGGUGGACGGCCACAUUGGGACUGAGAUACGGCCCAGACUCCUACGGGAGGCAGCAGUGGGGAAUAUUGCACAAUGGGCGCAAGCCUGAUGCAGCGACGCCGCGUGGGGGAUGACGGCCUUCGGGUUGUAAACUCCUUUCGCUAGGGACGAAGCUUUUGUGACGGUACCUAGAUAAGAAGCACCGGCUAACUACGUG